rnacentral:rRNA from 1 species
AGUGAACGCUGGCGGUAGGCCUAACACAUGCAAGUCGAACGGCAGCACAGUAAGAGCCUGCUCUUACGGGUGGCGAGUGGCGGACGGGUGAGGAAUACAUCGGAAUCUACUUUUUCGUGGGGGAUAACGUAGGGAAACUUACGCUAAUACCGCAUACGACCUACGGGCGAAAGCAGGGGAUCUUCGGACCUUGCGCGAUUGAAUGAGCCGAUGUCGGAUUAGCUAGUUGGCGGGGUAAAGGCCCACCAAGGCGACGAUCCGUAGCUGGUCUGAGAGGAUGAUCAGCCACACUGGAACUGAGACACGGUCCAGACUCCUACGGGAGGCAGCAGUGGGGAAUAGUGGACAAAGGGCGCAAGCCUGAUCCAGCCAUACCGCGUGGGUGAAGAAGGCCUUCGGGUUGUAAAGCCCUUUUGUUGGGAAAGAAAAGCAGCAGGUUAAUACCCCGCUGUUCUGACGGUACCCAAAGAAUAAGCACCGGCUAACUUCGUG